rnacentral:rRNA from 1 species
AUGAACGCUAGCUACAGGCUUAACACAUGCAAGUCGAGGGGCAGCAUGGUCUUAGCUUGCUAAGGCCGAUGGCGACCGGCGCACGGGUGAGUAACACGUAUCCAACCUGCCGUCUACUCUUGGACAGCCUUCUGAAAGGAAGAUUAAUACAAGAUGGCAUCAUGAGUCCGCAUGUUCACAUGAUUAAAGGUAUUCCGGUAGACGAUGGGGAUGCGUUCCAUUAGAUAGUAGGCGGGGUAACGGCCCACCUAGUCUUCGAUGGAUAGGGGUUCUGAGAGGAAGGUCCCCCACAUUGGAACUGAGACACGGUCCAAACUCCUACGGGAGGCAGCAGUGAGGAAUAUUGGUCAAUGGGCGAGAGCCUGAACCAGCCAAGUAGCGUGAAGGAUGACUGCCCUAUGGGUUGUAAACUUCUUUUAUAAAGGAAUAAAGUCGGGUAUGCAUACCCGUUUGCAUGUACUUUAUGAAUAAGGAUCGGCUAACUCCGUGCCAGCAGCCGCGGUAAUACGGAGGAUCCGAGCGUUAUCCGGAUUUAUUGGGUUUAAAGGGAGCGUAGAUGGAUGUUUAAGUCAGUUGUGAAAGUUUGCGGCUCAACCGUAAAAUUGCAGUUGAUACUGGAUAUCUUGAGUGCAGUUGAGGCAGGCGGAAUUCGUGGUGUAGCGGUGAAAUGCUUAGAUAUCACGAAGAACUCCGAUUGCGAAGGCAGCCUGCUAAGCUGCAACUGACAUUGAGGCUCGAAAGUGUGGGUAUCAAACAGGAUUAGAUACCCUGGUAGUCCACACGGUAAACGAUGAAUACUCGCUGUUUGCGAUAUACAGCAAGCGGCCAAGCGAAAGCGUUAAGUAUUCCACCUGGGGAGUACGCCGGCAACGGUGAAACUCAAAGGAAUUGACGGGGGCCCGCACAAGCGGAGGAACAUGUGGUUUAGUUCGAUGAUACGCGAGGAACCUUACCCGGGCUUAAAUUGCAGAUGAAUUACGGUGAAAGCCGUAAGCCGCAAGGCAUCUGUGAAGGUGCUGCAUGGUUGUCGUCAGCUCGUGCCGUGAGGUGUCGGCUUAAGUGCCAUAACGAGCGCAACCCUUGUUGUCAGUUACUAACAGGUUCCGCUGAGGACUCUGACAAGACUGCCAUCGUAAGAUGUGAGGAAGGUGGGGAUGACGUCAAAUCAGCACGGCCCUUACGUCCGGGGCUACACACGUGUUACAAUGGGGGGUACAGAGGGCCGCUACCACGCGAGUGGAUGCCAAUCCCAAAAACCUCUCUCAGUUCGGACUGGAGUCUGCAACCCGACUCCACGAAGCUGGAUUCGCUAGUAAUCGCGCAUCAGCCACGGCGCGGUGAAUACGUUCCCGGGCCUUGUACACACCGCCCGUCAAGCCAUGGGAGCCGGGGGUACCUGAAGUGCGUAACCGCGAGGAGCGCCCUAGGGUAAAACUGGUGACUGGGGCU